rnacentral:rRNA from 1 species
AGCAGCCAAGGUAAUUCUAGCUCCAAUAGCGUAUAUUAAAGUUAUUGCAGUUAAAAAGCUCAUAGUUGAAUUUCGGGAUCAAUGUUUCGGUCAUGCCCUUGGUAUGUACUGAUAUUAUUGGUUUCUCACCUUCUAAAGAACCGUAAUGCCAUUAACUUGGUGUCACGGGGAAUUAGGACUGUUACCUUGAAAAAAUUAGAGUGUUUAAAGCAGGCUCACGCUUGAAUACAUUAGCAUGGAAUAAUGAAAUAGGACAUCCGAUUCUAUUUUGUUGGUUUCUAGGAUCGAUGUAAUGAUUAAUAGGGAUAGUUGGGGGCAUUAGUAUUCAGUUGUCAGAGGUGAAAUUCUUGGAUUUAUUGAAGACUAACUACUGCGAAAGCAUUUGCCAAGGAUGUUUUCAUUAAUCAAGAACGAAAGUUAGGGGAUCGAAGACGAUCAGAUACCGUCGUAGUCUUAACCAUAAACUAUGCCGACUAGGGAUCGGAUGAUGUUAAUUUUUUAAUGACUCA